UAGUGUUGUCUGGAUAUCAGGUUUUUCAACCCCCAGUCCUUCCUCACAGCCUUCAGAUAUGUGGAUGAAGGGUGUUUUGGUCUAACAGCUGCAGAAAAGGUGACUUGUUUAUAGUGAUACCAGAAGGCUUUGACAGAACGCUGCAUCUGUAUGCUGUAUUGGACAUACAGCUACCAUAGAUACUGGUAUUUACUUAUUUACUGGAGCUACUUUCAAGAGGUCUGUAGCACAGUUGCUAUUCUCUAGCCCCAGCAACUCUUUGAAAACUAGAAGUUGUUCUCCUAGAGAAAAUUGGGAUUAUGUCAAAGCAGGUGCUUGCUUGGAUAUUCAGGAAGGAUAUAUGAAUUUUGAUAUUGGUAGGAGCCUUCUCAUCCCCAGCCCUCGUGGCAG
rnacentral:lncRNA from 1 species